rnacentral:rRNA from 1 species
UACAGAGGGUGCAAGCGUUAAUCGGAAUUACUGGGCGUAAAGCGAGCGUAGUCGGUUAUUUAAGUCGGAUGUGAAAUCCCCGGGCUCAACCUGGGAAUUGCAUUCGAUACUGGAUAGCUAGAGUUCGGCAGAGGGAAGCGGAAUUUCUGGUGUAGCGGUGAAGUGCGUAGAUAUCAGAAGGAACAUCAGUGGCGAAAGCGGCUUCCUGGACCAGAACUGACGAUCAGGCUCGAAAGCGUGGGGAGCAAACGGG